UGGGCAACCUGCCCUCAGCUCUGGGAUAACUCCGGGAAACCGGGGCUAAUACCGGAUAUGACCAUUCCUGGCAUCUGGGGUGGUGGAAAGUUUUUCGGCUGAGGAUGGGCCCGCGGCCUAUCAGCUUGUUGGUGGGGUUACGGCCCACCAAGGCGACGACGGGUAGCCGGCCUGAGAGGGCGACCGGCCACACUGGGACUGAGAUACGGCCCAGACUCCUACGGGAGGCA
rnacentral:rRNA from 1 species